AAUUAGUCAGGCUAACAAGAUUGGAUGAAUUAGACUCGACUUUUUAUUGGUUUGGAUUAUAUUGAAUUCCAAUAAGUGAUUGGAUCAAAUUGGAAUCAAAAUGUAAAAUAAAAUAUAUAAUGAAUUGGACUUGAAUUUGAUAAAAUCCGUUGGAUUUAAACUAAUAAAUAUAUGGGUGUCAAUUUGUGUAGUUAUGUCAUGUCUAAUAUGUGUUAUGUUAAAUUUAAAUAAGUACGGAUAUGACCCAUUUAUUAACCGUGUCGAAACAUCAAAUGUGGAUAUGACUCGUUUAUUAAUCAUGUAUUAAUGCAACAAAAAAUUUAAUUUAAAAAAUAACAACUAUGUCAAUAUUAUUCUUAAAAAUAGGAUAUAAAUAAAUUAACAUGACAUAAAUAUGAUAUGGAUAUGACAGUAAUAAUUAAUUUAAUGUUGUGUGUGCGUGUGUGCGUGUGCACACACAUUUAUAUUAGUUAUUUUUUCAAUAAUAUUAAUACAUACUAAUUAAUAUUUGUGCCAUAAACAUAUAAUUUGAAGUGCUUUAACAUAAAUAUGACAUGAUUAUUUAUUGUAUUUUAUUGUGUUAAUCCAUUUAAUACUCAUAUCAAUAUUUGUUAACAAGCAUAUACAAAAUUGUAUCGACCCAUUUUAUCACCUCUAAUUAACACCCUUACUUCCAAUAAACUUUUAAAACUUCUUUUCUGAUUUUAUCAUAAUAUAAUUUCUAAAAUAUUAUAAAUAUCAAAUAACACCACCAUGAAUGGCAAAAGUAACCUCCAUCAAAAUUAUUCCAAAUGAAACGGAAUUCUUUAUUGUUUUUUCUUAUUUUUCAAUUAUCAAACAUUGCUUAACAUAUUGACAUCACACGACUAUGUAAUGCACCCCAUAAAUAAUAAUGUGCAAUGAUUGGAAUCUCAAAGAUACUAAAGUGGGGAACAAGAAAUGAGCUAUUACUCUCUAAUAAAAUUAUUGAAGAACUAGCGAACUGACUAUCUCCCUAAAAUCAAUAAAAAUUCUAACUUAGUUGUAAGCAUCUUUCGUUAUGGGCUAACGACUUACAUAAAUUACCAGGUGUUGGUUUUUGACUUUGACUUUAUCUCAAACAAGAGAAAUGGGGAAUAGUUUGUGUUUUUACGUGGGUUUAAUUUGAUUUUUUUUGUCCUUCAAUAUAAUUUCGAUAAAGUACAAAAUUGUAAAAUACUCAAAGAGAUUAUAAGAGAUUUUCAAACGGUGCCAAUAAUCCAUCCCAAAAAAAAAAAAAAAUGCAAUUCAAAUUAACGGUCCCAAGUACAUGUAGUCCAAUUUUGCAUAUCAUUUUUUUUUCUUUUAAACGAAAUUUAUUAUUAACAAAGAUUAAUCAGUUGUUGAAGUUAAGGACUUUCUCUGAUUCUUUUUGCGUUGUGAGAGAAUACUCUUUCUCUAUAUUUAAACGUGUGAUGAUGAGUGAAAAAAAAUGUGAUAGCAUUUGUUUUUCAUCUGAAAUGUAAAUAUAAUUGGAUUUGAUUAAAAUUUAGAUAGGAUUACAAGUAAAAAUUGAAAUCAUAUGUUUGUUUUAUUUUUAUGGCAUUUGAAUGGAAUAUCUAAAACAAAUUUAUACAUACUUGAAAUAGUAUUGGUAAGGAAAGGUAAUGGAAGCAAUUUGAAAUGCAUUUUGAUCUUAGUGAUGAAUAAAAAAAAAUAAUUUCAUUUAGUAACGACUUUUUAGUCUUAAAUUUAAAAGAACAUCUAAUACAAUUUAUUAAUCGAAAUUGAACCAUAUUUCGUCUUCAGUCAAAAAACAAACAGGUCCAAGGAUUUACAUUUAAUCUAAGGUGAGAUGGGGUAAGGUGCAUGGUUUAAAAAUAAAAUAAAACAAACAAACAAACAGGAACUAUGUCUCUCAUUUUCUGAUUUCGCUACAUCGCUACAUCUUGGUAAAUAGCUUGACUUAAAAAUGUGACGGGACUCGCAUGGUUUGUUUUUAAAUUUUGAUAUUCCUAUCAAUCAAUCAUAUCUUGCUAUGCACAAGUGCUUGUGACUCUAGUUAUUCAUGGAGAAAAGGAUAUCUAGACGUUCGAGAUUUUGCUCAAUGUAUAUGUAGAUCCAUAAAUCAUCAUGCAGACCCCUACAUUGACUAUUAUACCCUUUGAUUAUACUAACUAAAAGAUUAAUUUUAAGAUUUUACAUAAUAUAAAA
rnacentral:lncRNA from 1 species